rnacentral:rRNA from 1 species
CGUGUAGGCGGCCAGGUAAGUCGGAUGUGAAAGCCCGGGGCCCAACCCCGGAACUGCACCCGAUACUGCCUGGCUGGAGUCCCGGAGAGGAUGGCGGAAUUUCCGGUGUAGAGGUGAAAUUCGUAGAUAUCGGAAGGAACACCAGUGGCGAAGGCGGCCAUCUGGACGGUGACUGACGCUGAGACGCGAAAGCGUGGGGAGCAAACAGGAUUAGAUACCCUGGUAGUCCACGCCGUAAACGUUGGGUGCUAGACGUCGGGGGUAUUGACCCCUCCGGUGUCGAAGCUAACGCAUUAAGCACCCCGCCUGGGGAGUACGGCCGCAAGGCUAAA